rnacentral:rRNA from 1 species
AUACGGAGGGUGCAAGCAUUAAUCGGAAUUACUGGGCGUAAAGGGUGCGUAGGCGGUUUGGAAAGUCAGAUGUGAAAUUUCGGGGCUCAACCCCGAAGCUGCAUUUGAAACUAUCAGACUAGAGGAUAAAUGGAGAAAGCGGAAUUCCAUGUGUAGCGGUGGAAUGCGUAGAUAUAUGGAAGAACACCGGUGGCGAAGGCGGCUUUCUAAUUUAUUCCUGACGCUGAGGCACGAAAGCUAGGGGAGCGAACAGGAUUAGAUACCCCAGUAGUCC